rnacentral:rRNA from 1 species
AGAGUUUGAUCCUGGCUCAGGAUGAACGCUGGCGGCGUGCCUAACACAUGCAAGUUGAGCGAUUUACUUCGGUAAAGAGCGGCGGACGGGUGAGUAACGCGUGGGUAACCUACCCUGUACACACGGAUAACAUACCGAAAGGUAUGCUAAUACGGGAUAAUAUAUUUGAGAGGCAUCUCUUGAAUAUCAAAGGUGAGCCAGUACAGGAUGGACCCGCGUCUGAUUAGCUAGUUGGUAAGGUAACGGCUUACCAAGGCGACGAUCAGUAGCCGACCUGAGAGGGUGAUCGGCCACAUUGGAACUGAGACACGGUCCAAACUCCUACGGGAGGCAGCAGUGGGGAAUAUUGCACAAUGGGCGAAAGCCUGAUGCAGCAACGCCGCGUGAGUGAUGAAGGCCUUCGGGUCGUAAAACUCUGUCCUCAAGGAAGAUAAUGACGGUACUUGAGGAGGAAGCCCCGGCUAACUACGUGCCAGCAGCCGCGGUAAUACGUAGGGGGCUAGCGUUAUCCGGAUUUACUGGGCGUAAAGGGUGCGUAGGCGGUCUUUCAAGUCAGGAGUGAAAGGCUACGGCUCAACCGUAGUAAGCUCUUGAAACUGGGAGACUUGAGUGCAGGAGAGGAGAGUGGAAUUCCUAGUGUAGCGGUGAAAUGCGUAGAUAUUAGGAGGAACACCAGUUGCGAAGGCGGCUCUCUGGACUGUAACUGACGCUGAGGCACGAAAGCGUGGGGAGCAAACAGGAUUAGAUACCCUGGUAGUCCACGCUGUAAACGAU